rnacentral:rRNA from 1 species
AGAUUGAACGCUGGCGGCAGGCCUAACACAUGCAAGUCGAGCGGUAGAGAGGUGCUUGCAUCUCUUGAGAGCGGCGGACGGGUGAGUAAUGCCUAGGAAUCUGCCUAGUGGUGGGGGAUAACGUUCGGAAACGGACGCUAAAUACCGCAUACGUCCUACGGGAGAAAGCGGGGGACCUUCGGGCCUCGCGCCAUUAGAUGAGCCGUAGGUCGGAUUAGCUAGUUGGUGAGGUAAUGGCUCACCAAGGCGACGAUCCGUAACUGGUCUGAGAGGAUGAUCAGUCACACUGGAACUGAGACACGGUCAGACUCCUACGGGAGCAGCAGGU